GUCCGUUCUUAACCUGAAACUGUUCUUAACCUGAAGCACCACUUUAGCUAAUGGGGCCUCCUGCUGCCGCUGCGCCACCGAAGCACGAUUUCUGUUCUCAUCCUGAAGCCAAGUUCUUAACCUGAAGCACUAUUUCUGGGUUAGCGGAGUCUGUAACCUGAAGCGUAUGUAACCCAAGGUACCACUGUAUAUAAAACAUAAAACACUAAACAUGAGAAGACUUCACUAUACAUGCCUUCAGAUGUCUUUGAAAGGUUGUCUAGUUAUCUCCUUGACUCGAGGAUCGCAUGACUCCAUACCCUCCAAUAUUUGAUGAAAAUAGGGGUGUCAUGAGGAAAAGCGGGACAUUCCACGAUUAAAUCAGAAUCCAGGAAGGCUUCUGUAAAUCCAGAACGGUCCCUGGAAAAUAGGGACACUUGGAGGGUCUGGGCUCUAGAAGCACUGAAGUGGGUCACCCCACAAGCGUAGCUCAAGUUUGUUUUAGCCCCGGGAUUGCUAAUGAUCAGUAUUAAGAUGAAAGGUCUGCCUUGCAUGUUGCUUUAUGGAAGUGAGUCGGGGGCAUGUUGAUCUCCCUGAAGUGAUGCCUCAACAUCUUCAAUACGUGCAAAGUCAAGGAGAUUUGGAGCAUCACAUGGCAGUACAGUUGGGGGGAAAAGAUGUGCUCUCCCAAGCCCACAUUCCCAGAAUGUUCACACUUGUUGCAGCGAUGUCUACACUGGCUCGGUCACGUCCACAGGCACUCUCAUACUCUGUGGCCAUCCUACAGCUACAGGAUCCAGCCUUCUAGCCAGCAUGCUCAAUGGUGACAUGCAUACAGGAAACCUGACCACAGAAACACCAUGCUCAAGAACAGGAAUGAAUUCUCAGGAAUUGAGUAAGCAAUGUGGGAGGGAUUAACAAGUUGUUCUCAACCUUUUCAGGCCAACACAUUUUGGAAAAUUUAUGACGUGUCAUGGACAUGAAAAACCUGGCAAAUGCUCAUAAUCACUCAUCUCCAAAAAGUCAAAAUAUCAAUGCCUCUGUAACCACCUUUUUGUGUUUAAAGCAAGCUGCUUUGGGGUGGGGCAGAGGUCAUUGGCAAGCAGCAGCUGGGGUGUUUAAGUGCACAGUAGUGCUUGUGGACUCCAGGAUUGAGUAGAAAGUAUCUUGUAUUUCACUUUAAUAGGCAGGGUUGAUAUGCGACGUUGUGCGUAUCAAUAUAUUGUCAAAAUCACAAGCUGCAUUUAAAUCUCAAACCGCUAACAAGAUUCCUUUGCUCAUUUGAGAUUCCUUUGCUUACUCCAGGACAGGAAAUCUGUGGUCCUCCAGGUGUGUCUAUUCCAGUUCCCAUCAGCCAACAUAAGUGACGAGUCGUAAAACAUGUUAUGUAUGAAGGUUCCCCAUUCCUGGUUUUCAUAGUAAGGCUGAAAUCAAUGCUAUUUUGUGUGGUAAUAAAUCCUCAUCGAUAAAAUGUAGUCAGGAAUUGAGGCUUCCCACAGGC